rnacentral:lncRNA from 1 species
CAUGCUCUCAUGUAAUGCAACACAUCACAACUAAUCACAUCAAGGAUGGUAUUGUCACCAAUAGUCCUCUACAUUCCAAAGUGCCGGGACGUAGAAUGGGUCAACCGAUCUUUCUCUUAAACAUAUCAUAACAUAACAUUCCAAGAUGCCGGGACGUAGAAUGGGUCAACCGGUCUUUCUCUUACAUAGUGCCGGGACGUAGAAUGGGUCAACCGGACUUCCAUACCAUAUCAUGUCGUAUCAUCAU